rnacentral:rRNA from 1 species
GAUGAACGCUGGCGGCGUGCCUAAUACAUGCAAGUCGAGCGAAGCGGGGACGGGUGAGUAACACGUCGAUAACCCCCUAUAAGACUGGGAUAACUUCGGGAAACCGGAGCUAAUCCGGAUAUUUAUCGAUGGUUCCGCGCCGCAUUAGCUAGUUGGUAAGGUAACGGCUUACCAAGGCGACGAUGCGUACCCGACCUGAGAGGGGUAUCAGCCACACUUGAACUGAGACACGGUCCAGAGUCCUACGGGAGGCAGCAGUGGGGAAUCUUCCGCAAGGGGCGAAAGCCUGACGUAGCGACGCCGCGUGAAUGAAGAAGGUCUUCGGAGCGUAAAGCUCUGUUAUUAGGGAGGCGGUACCUAAUCAAAAAGCCGCGGCUAACUACGUGCCAGCAGCCGCGGUAAUUC